GAACGCAAGAGCGUGCGGUGGCAAUAGUCGAUCAAGUCGACGAUCGAGUCGCCCAGGGCUUCGCAUGCGGCCGAAUGGUACAGCAAUAGCUCCAGCAAGCUAAUGACUGCUCCUUCGUGGUACAGCUGCCAAAACAAUAAGGAAAUCCGGCAUAUUAUUUACGUCAUCCGUCAGUGGGCGGGGUACUAAAGAAAUAGUGGUGGAAAGAAAAAAAAAAGCCUCCCAUUUCGUCAUGUCUGACGGAGAAGAAUUUGUUUAGACUGCGUUGACGUAGCGAUUGCUGAUGUUUUGUCUGGUUUUUGUCUCAACAGCGACUGCACGAAGGGUGAGGUAUAUAUAUAUAUAAUAACAUUGUCAACAAACUAGGGAGCAGACGAUGUAAUGAGGCAAAUUUCUGCUAUCGAUCCAAUAGGGCGCCAUUAAGACCAAUUUGACGGUGACAUGAAAUUGAGUUUAAAACGUUAUCUGUUAAAAUGUGUUGCACAUACUUUCUCUGCAACCAUUAAUUUAGAGUAGACAGUCUCUUCUUUGAGUUGAGCCGUCUGCGAGACAGCCUUGAGCGAUAACUGGACCACUGCUUGAUGAUGAGACAGCCAUCUAAUGAAUAAAAGUGGGGCAAUGAACGAUACGAGUCCCUCAUUAUAAUUCCGCACAAGCUCGAACGAUAUCAGAAACAAUAUAUCUGUCUUUCUUCUUUUUCCCUACCUGUCAGAUGCCAAUUCGUCCAGUUGACAGAGUCGAGUCUGUUCUAUCAGUUGAUCUUCUUCGUAAUCCAUAAUAAUUUAAUGAGCAGCUGAAUUUAUAAUGCCAAUUGCGAAAGCCAAUGCCAAAAGGAAACACAAACAACUGCGGAAUUGAUAAAUUCUAGGAUUUUGUUAUGUCCUAGACCACAUUCCGCAGACGACGCUGAAAGACUAAACGAAUCUUAACGGUUAAUAACGGGAGCAUGGAUCUAAUAAAAGUUGAGCAUCGAUUCAACAAACUUGUCCUGUCUCUAUUUUAU